rnacentral:lncRNA from 1 species
AGUAAAUCAUACUUUUGUCAAAUAGUUCUGUGGGUUCUUUGAGUAUUUACAAAAAAGAUUCAUUCAUUUGGUUCAUAAUAUUUGAGCUCUUGUCCACUUGCUGUGUACCUCAUACUUGUGUUAACUAAUUUUGUGGAUUUUUUGUAUGUUCGUUGAAAAAAUUCAGUUUUUCCAUAUUUACUAGUUUAAUUUUUGUGUCUAAAUUGCAAAAAAUGGAGUUUUCCCUACCUAUUUUUGUUGCUUCUUAUCACUUGUUUACUCAGGAUUGUACCUUUUCCUAUUUUGCUCUAAGCAUGUCCUUUUCUUGAGCCGAUUGUCUUUAUUUAUCUUUCUUUUUCUCUAUAUUUCUAAGAUUUUGUUACUUUUUUAACUAAUCCUAUGGGAUUUUGAAUGUAUUCAUAAUAAAAGAUUCAGUUUUUUAGUUACUCAUUUUCCUUCUUUUCUUUCUCAAUUGGAUAUGUAUUAAUGUUUCCUUUAUUUUUCUUGUUUUGCAUGGAAAUUCCAUCCAGAGUUCGAAUGGGAUUCGUUUCCUUUGCAUUUCUAAGAGGCCAAUGAGGCCUCUCUUUUCGAGUCAAACUUUGAGGGAAAAUUUUCAAAAGUUACCUCGUGGCAUACCGAAACCAAGGAGUCGAAAGCAGAAGAAAUGGAUCAAAGUCCUACGUUUGAAGCGGCCAAGAGACAAAAGUCUCAUCUGUUAUUUUUAUUUUAGUUUAUUUAUUGUUGUCUUUAUUUAUUUUAUUUAUUUUAUUUAUUCAUUUGGGUCUCAAAGCCAAAGUUGUAUUUAAUACAGGUGAUGUGAAACCUCGAGCCAAAAAAGGGCUCGAAAACAUAGAAUUAGGACAGGUUAAAGAAUGGGUCAAAAACCCAACUAGAUUAGGACAGGGUCGAUGGUUUGGGCUUAAAAGCCUAAAUUACUACUUCUCUCCUUUUUCUUUUUUCUAUUUUCUUACUUGCUUUACGUGUGCUUGGCGAACCUAGUUAAAUACUUAAUUAAGUCGAUAAAAAACUAGUUUUGCAUAAACACCAAAAUAUUCCUAAAAUCGCUUUUCUUUUAAAAAGAUAUAAACUUUUUCAAAGUUAAUCAAAAGACAAUUUUCAAACAAUCCGAAUAACCACAAGUUAGCGGACGUUUUAGGUGCCUAACACCUUCCUAAAACGUUAAUAGGAACCGCUUAUCUAGAAUCUCUUGAACAAUUUUUCUGUUUUGAAUCGUCUAAGUACAUUACAAAGGUUUCUUAAUUCCUUUUCAAAAUUAAGUGGCGACUCUCUUUCAACAAUCAAAAUUUUCGCAAAACAGAAAUGGUGACUCUGCUGGGGAUUUAUCGAACUAGGUUCUAUCCAAAUGUGUGAUUUCGUCUUUUGAUUAACUGUUUAUGUAUUUAUAUGUUUCUGUAAAAAUUUAACUAUCACAUCUCAUGGCAUAUCCCUGCAUAAUUUAAACUAUUUUGGGGUUUCGUGGAUGUCCCGGCCCCUGUUUUUCAAUUCCAAAAUGUGUAGGAAAUAUGAACGACUUAUUAGCACAUGAGUCAUUUGAUACUGUUCGUAUUUUCAAAACUUUAGUUGUCCGCUUGAGAACCAAUGUUCAAACGCACUUUAGACACCGAGGAUAGAACGAAACCAAAAACCUAUUUUAGGGAUAAGCCUAGGAUGACCCAGUACCCGAGAGGGGUAUUGGGCUCAUUAGAAAACCUGCCCUGUGUCUAUUGACCCCGAGUCAAUUAUAGAUGAAUCAUAUUUAUGUGUUGAAAAAAGUACAUGCUUGUCUAAUUCGAUCCAUUAUCCUUUGGUGUCCGAGAAAGGCUUAUCUUUGUCUGCUCUCAUGUAGGAUAUGACUCAACUACAUUCCCACGAAAAGUUUAAGAUGUUUACUAAACCUGAUGAUUUCUUGAAACUAUGGUGGGACCACAUGAGCGCAAAAGAGAAAAAGAUUAUUAGAACACACAUUGGGCAUCUUCUUUCUUUGAUCGAGAUGGACGCUUGGCCCAAAAUGAUCCAUGUACUAACAAAUUUUUGGGAUGAUCAAAAUAUGGUAUUUCGCUUUGGGGAUGUUGAAUUGACUACUACCAUUGAAGAGGUAUUGAUUUAUUAUGAGAGUAUGGAAAUGUGUUUUAAGAGAAGGGAGACACCUGAUAAGAAUAUUUUAGUCCCAGUUGUGUGAGGAUCGUCAAAAGAUCAAGGAGGUAUUUUUAACAGACGACGACACCUAGCUAGGAGAACGUGAUGGAGCAAAUAUCACUUUUCAUGAUUUGUAUAAUCGGUUUAGGAGAUUUAAUGCUUUUCAAAAAUUUGGGCAUAAAUAUGAGUCAGAAGCAAAAUGGAAGGAGACGAGAGCCUUUGCAUUUGCGGUAGAUUACUAGGAACCAUGGUGUUCCUACAAAGGGAAAAUAGCACAAUUCAACCGAGGGUUGUCUCAGUGACCCAUGCACUCUUCUUUGGAAUGGAGUACAAUUCUAAAAAAGUAUUCCACAACUUAGCUCCUAUGACUGUUGCCGACCUAUAUCGAGAUUUGGGAAGGUGUCAAGUUGAGAAUCGUUUCUUUCAAGGCUGCAACCUUAUAUUAUAAUAGUGGAUGAUGAUGCAUUUGGUGAAAAAUCCUAGAACGACACAACCUGAACACAAAACAAGGUGGAAUCUGCUAGAAUCGUACGACAUAUGGUUGUUUUUACAUAGGUUCAAAAGGGAAGCAUCUCAUGAAUUUUGGUUUAAGACUCUUGGAGAAUUAAGAGAUGAUGAUGUCCAAUGGCUCCUUAACUAUCUUUAUUCAGGGAAAUACAUUAUUCGAGAGGGCGAGUAGCCUUUUCUAGUGCUUUCGGGUCUCAGGGGAACCCGUCCCUACAAUCCUAGCAGAGUUCUUAGGCAAUUUGAGAUCAAGUAGGAGACACCUCAAAUCGAUUCUAUGCUCAGAUUCUUCACCAAAUAUGAUGAAAGCGAGCCCCCGCUUAAAGACUACAUGAUAAACGGAUGGAGAAGGAAAUGGUGGACGAAAGUCUCUUUUCAUAUAGGGUAUGAACCUAAAGUCAGUGACACUUACAAGGAGUGGUUAAAAAAGAGCCUUGUCAGAGCAUUGAUUUCGGGGCCGAACGUGCCCACUCGGGUUGUGGAUGUAGAAUUCAGGCAUCGGAUCCAAAUCUACAGGCUUCAGGAUGAAUUUUAGAAAAGUAAAAUCGCGCACCUAAAGAUACAUGUAGAAGAUUCUUUAAUAAUACAUAUGUUGAGGGAAGAGUUGAGAAGAGCUAGGCAAGAGGCUAAUGAUGCUAUUCAGUGUUUAAUCAAUCUGGAUGAUAGCAUGGCCUCUCAACUCGACAGUAUAGGAAAAAUGACUUACGACAGCAAGACACAAUUAUACGGGAGUCAUCUGAUCAUCAAUAGGUAUCAAAUAUCACAAGAGGUGAACAAGGUAAAGAAGGAAAAGACGGAUGAAGGAGCCUCCGGUAGCUAGUUUUUCUAUUUCCCCUGCGCGGGAACUUAUUUUCUUUCAUGUUAUUUCCCCUUUUUACUAAAGAUUGCAUCUCUCUUUUAUUUUUUAUUUUUUGUAGGUAUUUAUGCCCUUUUUCGUGUCUAUAUAAGUUUGGGGAUAAUGGAUUGACUUUACGGAAGCAUAUAUUUUCUUCAAAAUCGUUAGGCCUAAACCCUUGGCUAAAAAAGGGUCACCCAGUUAGGAUACACAAUAUUAUAAUGUUUUGUGUUAUAUAAUUGUCUUAGGUGCUUAUGUGUUUUUAUUUGGAUCAAAGAAAAGUUUAUCCGCUAUACUCCUAUGGAUGAAUUUGUCUAUGACUCAAACAACUUUAUGUGGUUAUUUCUUGUCCAAUAUUUUGCAUUACUUAUCACAUACGGAAACUAACACAUCUGCCUUUGAGUUGUUUUACUUAACAGAUAGUAGAAACUACUCCGUGUUGAUAUAAGCUAGAAAACAUCCCUACUUCACCUGGUCAUAAGCGCAUAAAAUCCCAUCCUCUGACCAUCAUUCAAUAGUGAGUGGAAAUAAUGAAGAAAAUGUAUUGACCAUCAGGGACAAUCUAAUAGUGGAACAGAAUGAGAUGAUUACAGAACUCGCAAGAAAGCUUGAAAUGCUUCAGGAGGAAAUAAAUCUUACUCGAGAUUUGGCUCACCUGGCCAUCACUGUUAAUGCUCCCGCUCUAGGAGGACACGGGACUCCACUCCAAAUCCCUUCCCUUAGUACGCUUAUUCUAAGGGAUUAACCAAAUAACAUAUUAUCCGUCUCUGCCCCUCCACUUGUCCAAAAUACCAAUCGUAAAAAUAACCCAGAAGCCUACCAUUCACAAAAUCCAUCUCUAACCCCACAAAACCCAUCUCUGAAUCUUUUCCCAAAUGCCCAGGACGCAUUUUUAAAUCAAGAAAAUUCAUUCCUAAAUCCAUAGGAUUCACUUCCAAACCCGCAAAAUCCAUCAAAUCAAUUCCCGAAUCCACCAAAUUUGUUUCCAAAUCCAUAAAAUUCUCCUCCAAUUCCACCAAACCACUCGCAAAUUCCAUAAAACCUUCCUAAAUUUCAAAAUGUCCUCCCCACCUACCAAAGAACUUCCUUUCAUCCACAAAAUCAAGCCUCCUUUCCAAAGCCCCCUUAUGCCAUCAUACCCCCCGACAUCUAUAAUCCCCUUCCUAAUCCUGAGAUGGAUCAUUAUAAAGAGAAGGAGAAAGAGUAGAGGACCGAGCCUGAAAUAAGGUUGCUAGCUAUGAAUGAAGAGAUCAUGAGGAUCAAAGAAUCUCAUGGAUUGAGGGACCACGAUGGUUUAGGGUACGAUGACUUAUGUGUUCACCCUGGAGUAGAUCUAACAAAAGGGUAAAGGUCCCCAAAUUUGAAGUAUUUGAUGGUGCUGGGAAGCCAAUGGCCCAUCUGAGGAAGUACUGUGAGCAACUGGUAGGGAUUAGAAAAAAUGAGGCAUUAUUGAUGUGCCUAUUCAACUGAAGUUUAAACGGUGAAGCCUUAGAGUGGUUCAUGUCUCAGUAGCCAAAAAAAUGGACUGGUUGGAAAGCAUUGGCCAAGGGUUUCCUCGACAGGUUCGCAUUUAACAUUAAAAUUGUCGUCCUGGACCGGUAUUCACUAGAUCGAAUCAAAUAGAAGAGUGAUGAGAGUUUUUGAGACUAUGCUUUUCGUUGAAGGAAAGAAGCUUCCAAAGUACAACCCCCCAUGUUCGAGGAAGAAAUGGUAUUUGUGUUCUCUCAUAUUCAAGAAGAAGAAUAUUAUACCAGGAUGGUGUCUGCUGUCAGGGAAACUUUUGCAGAUUUAGUAAAAAUUAGGGAAUCAUUGGAAGAAGGUAUUCAUACAGGAAAAAUUGCCAAGACCCUAACAUCAUUCGGAACUGCUACGUUCUCGAAGACAAAAAAGAGGAUCUAGGCACGGCUUCUGCUGAUUCUAUUGCAAAAAUAAAAAAAGAGGUUCAACUCUAGGAAUAUUUUCUCUUCUCCGCCAUCACUAAACUUUUAGAAUAUAUUCUACACCCAACCCUAAUACAAAGAUUCACUUCCAAAUGUCCAACCUCAGUACCAAGCUCCACUCCCAAAUAGUCAACCCCAGUACCAAACUCCACUCCCAAAUGUCUAAUCCUAAUUACAAGCUUCGUUGCCAAAUAUUUUUCCCCAAUGUCAAGUUCCACCACUGAAUUAUCAUCCUAAUGUCCAAUCCACUCUUCCAAACAUCUUAACAAACAUCCAAGAACCUCCAAAUUAUCAUCAGGUGCCUUCUCCUUCAAAUCAGAAUCAUUAUAACACUUCGCGUCCAAACAUAAAAAAGAAACCUCCCUGAAACUUCACGCCGCUUGCUGAAAUUCGCACCCAACUAUUUGAAAGAUUGAAGAAUGCUGGUCACUUACAAUCGAUCCAGCCAAAGCCUGUCAAUCCUAACUCCCAAUUUUAUCAUCCUGAUCGAAAUUGUGCCUAUCAUUCAGGAGCAGCAGGGCACAGUACCGAGGACUAUUUUAUCUUGAAACAUAGGAUCUAAGAUUUGAUUGAUCAAAAGGUCAUCACGCUUCAGUCACCGAUGCCAAAUGUCAAAAGUAACCCAUUUCCUAAUCAUGGGGGACCUAUAGUUAACAUGAUUGAAAUGGAAGGAGAAUGGGCAUCUGGCAAAACUAUUACUAAGGUGAAUUCAGAAGAGUGCAAAAGGGCAAAAGAGGUAGAAAAGAUAGAGAGAGUUGUGGCUGUCUUAAGUGUCAAUGAGAAAGCCUUAUUUAUAGUGAUGAUGGCCCCGAUCCAAGUCUACACUCCCCCACAAAGGAAGGAAUUUAUUGUAUAGACCGCUGAUGCCCAAGGGAUAACGCGAUCUGGAUGAUGCUACAUCCUUAAAGAAUUAGCCAACAAAAAAGUUUCACAGAAAAGGCCAAUCAAUGAAGGGGAGGCUGAGGAAUUUUGGAGGCAUAUGCAACUAAAAAAUUAUUCAAUUGUCAAACAUUUAGAGAAGACGCCAGCCGAAAUCUCUAUUUUGGAACUAUUAAUGAGUUCACAAUACCACCGCUAAGCUUUAUUUAAGGUCUUGGAUAAAGCAUAUGUUCCCGUAGGAAUGAGUGUUGAGAACCUGGCUUCGAUGAUAGAAAACAUUGUGGGGAAUAAUCGUAUAUCAUUCAGUGAUGAAGAGUUGCCUUUUGAAAGAGCGAUGCAUAACAAAGCCUUGUAUGUCACUGUCAUUUUCCGAGAUUAUACAAUUAAUCAGGUAUUAAUAAAUGACAUAUCUGGUGUGAAUAUUUGUCCCCUCUCCACGUUGUUUCAAAUGGGCUAUGAUUUGGGAAAAAUUCGUCAAAGCCAUAUAAAUUUGAGAGCAUUCAAUGGAGGACAGAGAGAUACCAUAGGAGAAAUUGAUUUGUAUAUCCAAAUGGGACCUGCUGAGUUCAAAACUAAGUUUUAUGUUAUGGAUAUUCGUCGUAGCUACAACCUGCUCUUGGGAAGACCAUGGAUACAUGGUGCAAAGGCGGUUUCAUCACCCCUUCAUCAACUAUUGAAUUUCAUUUAGAAGGAUCAUGAAGUAGUCGUCCAAGGGGAAGGAAGAUGAGUGGAUCGUCCCAAUGGUUUUGUGCCGGUGAUUGAAGAUGUUCCAAAGGGUAGUAGUUUUUAUACGGUUGAAAUUAUAAAUAAUGUGGAGAAGGAUUUGACGCUCAAAGCACCAAUGCCUUCUAUCUAUAAAAUGAUUGCGACAGUGAUGUUAAGAAAUGGAUUUGAGCCUGGUCGGGGUUUGGGUAAGAAUCUACAAGGAAUUAUUGAGCCUGUUAUGAUCCCAGAGAAAUCCUCUAAGUAUGGGUUAGGAUAUCAGCCUACCGAGACGGAUAUGGUUGAGGAUAAGUCAGAGCAGAGUCUGUGUAGGUCCUUUCUUCUCCUGUACCAGUAAUUUUCUAUACGGGAGGUGUCGAAUGAUGAUGUUCUUGAGGAUGGGAUAAGAUAUUUGUUUGAGGGAUGCAAUGAUAUACCAGAAGAUUUCCCAAAGUCCGGCGGGGUGAAGAAGAUUGUGCCAGGGUAGGCCUUGCAAAAAUUAACCUCUACUCCACUCAUAACCCGUCAUUCGUUGUGGUAGAUGAAAGGGAAAUUACAAGUAGUUUUAAAAUCGGUGAUAAUACGGAAGAGGCCCCACGAUCCACCCUUUAUAUCUCAAAACUUUCUUUUUGUAUUUUACUUCUUUAAAAAAUACAUGGACUUGUAUUUGCGCGAGUCAUGAGCCAUGGUUUUGUAAUUAUCUCGUAAAUUUCAUUGAAAAUGCCUUCAUUCAUUUAAAUUUUUUUAUUAUUCCUGAAACAUUCCUAUUCAUAUAUUUUAUUAUUAUCUCAUUAUCAUCUAACUUGGUUUGUUUGUCCAUUACAAUAAUAGUAACUUAAAAUCUGUCAAUGUCAUGUCAUGUCAAAGCUUAGACGAACAAAAUGAAGGGACUAAUGAUGAUUGAAAGAAUGGUGAUGAAGAAUAAUUAGUUGAAGAUAUAGAGGAUUUUAAGAACCGAGAAAAGCCUAACCUAGAGGAAACUAAAAAAUUCAACCUUGGAGAUCAUGAUAAAUCAAAGAAGCAAGUGUCAGCGUCCACCUGGCGGAAGCAUAAAAAGAGAGCUCAUUCACCUGUUGCAGGAAUAUAUUGAUGUAUUUUCUUGGUCCUAUGAUGAUAUACCGGGAUUGAACACCAGUAUUGUGUCGUAUAAGUUGUCAAUAAAUCCAGAGUUUGAUCCAAUCAAGAAAAAAAUACAAAAAUUCAAUCCAGAUUUAAGUCUAAAGAUCAAGUACGAAGUGAAAAAACAAAUCCAGUCUAAGGUUGUGGAGAUCACAAAAUAUCCGACGUGGUUGUUGACUAUAGAGACUUGAAUAGAGCUAGUCCUAAAAAUAAUUUUUUGUUUCCUAACAUCCACAUCCUCAUCGAUAACUGUGUAAAGCAUGAAAUGCAGUCAUUCAUUGAUUGUUUUGCUGGGUAUCAUCAGACAUUGAUGGAUGAGGAAGACGCAGAAAAGAUGGAUUUUAUUACAUCCUGGGGUGAUUAUCAUUAUAGGGUAAUGCCGUUUAGUCUCAAGAAUGUGGGUGCAACAUAUAUGAGGGCUAUGAGGACGAUUUCCCAUGAUAUGAUUCAUAAAGAGAUUGAGGUGUACGUGGAUGAUUUAAUUAUCAAAUCCCGCAAGAGUUUGGAUCAUCUGACUUAUCUGGAGAAAUCCUUCAAUAGAUUAAGAAAGUACAGUCUAAAGUUAAAUCCUGCUAAGUGUGCUUUUGGUGUUCCAUCAGGGAAUUUGCUGGGGUUCAUAGUCAGCAGAAGAGGCAUCGAGUUAGACCCAUCCAAAAUCAAGACAAUCCAGGAGUUGCCACCGCUGAGGACCAAGAAGGAAGUUAUGAGUUUCAUAGGCCAUUUGAAUUAUAAUAGAAGGUUCAUCACUCAAUCGAUAGUCAUAUGCGAGCCAAUUCUUAAGAUGUUGAAGAAAAAUGCAUUGAAUGAGUGGACAGAAGAAUGUCAGAGAGCUUUUGACCGUAUCAAGGAAUAUCUGUCUGCAUCGCCAGUUUUGGUUCCACCAAGAGAAGGAAUUCCAUUAUUUCUUUACCUGUUAGUCUCAAAAAAUGCUUUUGGAUAUGUCCUCGGGCAACAUAAUGAGACCAGUAGGAAAGAGAAAGUCAUUUACUACUUGAGUAAAAAGUUUACGUUAUAUGAAGCCCGUUAUACUCUUGUAGAAAGGACAUGUUGCGCUUUGAGUUGGGCCGCACAAAAGUUGAGGCAUUAUCGAACUUCAUAUAUGACAUGCCUCAUAUAGAGAAUGGAUCUAUUGAGGUAUAUAUUCCAGAAGGCCAUGCCCACAAGAAAGCUAGCCAAGUGGCAAAUUUUGCUGAGCGAGUUUGACAUCAUGUAUGUAACUCAAAAAAAAAUCAAGGGGAAAGCUUUGGCAGAUCAUUUGGCAAAGAAUCCAGUUGAUGAUGAGUAUGAACAACUUCAAACUUACUUCCCAGAUAAGGAAACUCUUUUCGUAGGAGAAGCCAUUUUAGAAAUUUACCCUGGAUGGAGGUUAUUCUUUGAUGGAGCGAUCAAAUUCAAAGGUUCAGAAUCGGAGCAGUGUCGGUCUCAGAAACGGGUCAACAUUAUCCAGUAACUGCUAAGUUACGUUUCCCAUGCACCAACAACAUAGACGAAUAUGAAGCUUGCAUCCUAGGUCUCAAAUUGGCACUUGAUAUGGGUGUUCGUGAAUUGCUAGUCAUUGGGGAUUCAGAUUUGCUGAUUCACCAGGUACGGGGAGAAUGGGCGGUAAAAAAUUCCAAGAUUACUCCUUAUGUUGAGAUAGUAUAGGAAUUAUGUGGAAAAUUUAAAGAAGUUGAUUUCAGACAUAUCCGAAGGAUACAGAAUGAGUUUGCUGACAUUUUGGCCACUAUAUCCUCCAUGAUUUAUCACCCAGAUCAGAGUUACAUUGAUCCUUUAGAAAUAAGCUUGAAGGAAAAACCUGCGCAUUGUGCACACGUUGAAGAGGAGCCUAAUGAAAAGCCAUGGUACUUUGACAUUAAAAGGUAUUUAGAAUCUGAAAUAUAUCCUGAAGAGGACAGCAACAACCAAAAUAAAACAAUCCGGCUUUUGGAUAAAAAACUACUUUCCAAGUAAGGAAUUUACUUUUAGGAAGACGCCUGAUUUAGGAUUUUUAAGAUGCGUCAAUGCUGCGGAAGCUAAUAAAUUGAUAAAAGAAGUACACGCAAGAGUUUGCGAAACCCACGUGAAUAGGUUUGUCCUUGCCAGAAAAAUCCUGAGAACCGGCUACUUCUGGAUGACUAUAGAGAAUGAUUGUAGUAAGUAUGUCCAGAGAUGUCCAAAAUGUCAGACACACAGAGAUUUGAUUCGAAUGCCUCCACACGAGCUUCAUGCAAUGAAUUCACCUUGGCCUUUCGUAGCUUAGGGCAUGGAUGUUAUCAGACCGAUAGAGCCAUCAACAUCGAAUGGGCAUAGAUUUAUUUUGGUUGCCAUUGACUACUUCACUAAGUGGGUCGAAGCUGCAUCAUACAGAGCCAUCACUAAGAAAGUGGUUGCAGAUUUUGUCAGGAAUAACUUGAUUUGCCGAUUCGGAGUGCCAAAAUCAAUCAUUACUGAUAAUGGGGCAAACUUGAACAGUCACUUGAUAAAAGAAAUUUAUGAUCAGCUCAAAAUCGUGUAUCACAACUCGACCGCAUAUCAUCCACAGAUGAAUGGAGUCGUAGAAACUGCCAAUAAGAACAUCAGGAAGAUCUUGAGAUAGAUGGUCGAAAAUGAUAGAUCAUGGCAUAAGAUGUUACCUUAUGCUUUGCUAGGAUAUCGCACAACAGUUUGAACCUUCAUCAGGGCAACUCCCUAUUUACUGGUUUAUGGGAAUAAAGUUGUGACACCUACUGAGGUUGAAAUACCUUCCCUGAGGAUUAUUCAAGAAGUCGGACUAAGUAACAAAGAGUGGGUUCAUGCUCGUUGUGAAAAACUCAUGUUGAUUGAUGAAAAGAGAAUGGUUGCCAAGUGUCAUGGUCAGUUAUAUCAACCCAGGAUGAUUCGUGCUUUCAACAAGAAAGUGAGAGCUAAAACAUUUGAAGUUGGGCAAUUAGUUCUCAAAUGUAUACUCCCUCACUAAGAAGAGUACAAGGGCAAGUUUGCUCCAAAUUGGCAAGGUCCAUACAUAGUUCACAAGAUACUAUCUGGAGGGGCUCUGAUUUUGUCUGAGAUGGAUGUCCAUGAGUGGACCAAACCAAUCAAUUCUGAUACGGUGAAAAGAUACUAUGUUUGAAGGGCAUUCUAGUUUUGUGGUUCUUAGUUUAUCUGUAAUCUCCAUGUAAUAAUGUGUUUUAUGACGUGUAAUUGCCUAAAACACCUUUCCCUUUAUGUACGAACUAUAUUUGACCGGAAUUCCCAAGAAAGGGAUACGUAGGCGGCGUAUGUCGGCUUCAAUCAACCCCUUAGAAAAUUUAUCCUUUCCCUUUAUAUAUGAAUUACGUGAUGACCUGAAUUCCCAAGAAAGGGAUACGUAGGAGGCCUAUGUCAGCUUCGGUCAACCCAUUAAUUUCUUUUGUAUAUUCUUAGCAUAGUCCUGAACUAUGUUUGACAUAAUUCCUGCUUCAAUGGGAUAUGUAGGCUCCCCAACGGCUCGGUCAUAUAACCCCAGGAAAUGAAAACUGGUGCAAAAUUUUUGAGAAGGAAUCUCAAAAAUUCACAAGAGAAGAUCAACAUCCAACAAAGAGAAUGAAGAUCAACAAAGACUUCAGAUCCACUCAAGAUGAUAUCAUCUCAGACUACUUUAAACUGGGGCAAAAAUUUUGAAGGAGGCCUCAAAAUUUCAAUCAAAUACUGGAAUAUAUUUCAGAUUCCCCAGCACUAGAGGUCGAAGCUGAGAUUUAAGAAUAACCACUUGUGAUAAAGUCUAGGAAGACUGAAUCUCCAUCUCUGAUAAAACCUCUGGUAGAGAGUCUCGACAAUGCUGAAUCCUUAGCUACCCUCCAUCAAACGUCGGACAUUGUUAGAAUCAGGAGAAAGAAGGUCGUUGAGCUAGCACAUGACAUAACUGGCAGAGAUUUUUCAAAGUUUUACAGGAGUUCUCGAAACUAUUUUCUAAAAAUUAAGAGUACAUUCAAAAUAUCUAUAUAAAUCUUCUACUUAGUGAUUACCUAGACAUCAAUUAGGACAGAGAGUCAUGGGUGAAAGUUUAAACAUGACAAAAUACCUGAAAGAUGGUGAAGGAAAAAUCAAGGAUCGAAGGAGGUCAACACGGAGUAGUUUUACUCAAACUAAUCAUUUUAUGUGGGCACAGGGACCAAUAGACAAAAAUGAGAGUCUCUUUCAAAAAUCCCCGAGAAAAUUGGAAGCCACACCAGAGCACUAAUGCUCAAGAACGGUAUUUUCGAUUAGCCUUAAAAAUGGGUUUAUUACCCAUAUAUUGAAGACCUUUUGAAGUGUCCAUCUCAUUUCUUGAGAUCAUGGAGGACAAACAAAAGUGUCUUGUCUUCUUUACAAAUAUUGUAUUUAGAUUUUUUCUAAAAAAUAGUCGCUAGCAAAAGCGACUUUGUGUCUACUAAUCGUCUACCUUGAGUACAUAUACAUGCAGAAAGCAAGACCCUGACAAAUCAUUUCAGGUGAAACUAUUUUUAAUUCACCGGAAGAACCAUUGCAUAUCAUUGCCGAAAGGGCCAUUGCAUAUUAUCGCCAAGAGGGCCAUCUUAUACCAUUGCCCAAGAAGGCUAUUGAAUAUCUGUUGACACGCUAGACACAACGUUGGUGUCGAGGAUAUCAUUAGUAUUUAAUAUAUCUAUUGACACGCAAGAUACAACACUGGAGUCGAGGAUAUAAUCAUCAUUUUAUAUCUAUUGACAUACAAGACACAAUGCUAGCAUUGAGGAUAUCAUCAUCAUUUUAUAUCUAUUGACAUUCAAGACACAAUGCUGGCGUUGAGGAUAUCAUCAUCAUUCAAUAUCUGUUGACACGUUAGACAUAACGCUGGCGUCGAGGAUAUCAUUAGCAUUCAAUAUAUCUAUUGACACACAACACAAGACACGAUGCUGGCACCAAAGAUAUUAUCAUUAUUCAAUAUCUGUUGAUACGCUAGACAUAACACUGACAUCGAGGAUAUCAUCAGAAUUCAAUAUAUCUGUUGACACAUAAGACACAAUACUAGCGUCGAGGAUAUCAUCAUUAUUCAAUAUUUGUUGACGCGCUAGAUACAAUGCUGGCGUUGAGGAUAUCAUCAACAUUUAAUAUAUCUUUUGACAUGCAAGAUAUAAUGCUGGCAUCAAGGAUAUCAUCAUCAUUUUAUAUCUAUUGACACGCAAGACAUAAAUGCUGGCGUUGAGAAUAUCUCUUCAUUUUAUGAAUCAGUAUUUGAAUACAUCGAGAGUACAUGAUUUAAAGGGAUGCCUUCAAGUCGCUAUAUAAGGAUAAAUGAUAUAUAAGAUUUCCUAGAAAUUGACAAUUUGAGGGUCAUCUAUAAGUCAUAUUAUUUGAAAUAGAGUAGUGUGCAAGACCACCUAUGAGUUGAUAACCUAUAGGUAAUCCAUAAGCCACAACAACAUCCUAACUGGAUAGUGUCCAAGAUCGCCCAAAAAUUGAUAGUUCAAAGGUUAUCCAUAAGUUGAAACUAAAUCCUUACCGGAGAAUAUGCAAGAUUAUCAAAUUGAUAUGUCCAAGGGUUCUCUAUAAGCCGCGUCAUAUCCAAGAUCGAUUAUGUGCAAGAUUACCUAAAGACUAAUAAUUUGAGAGAUUAUCUGUAAGUCAUAUUGGAUCUAAGGUCGGAUGAUGUGCAGGAACACCUGAAAGCUAGAGAUUGGAGGGAUAUAUGUAAGCCAUAUCUUAUCCAAAGUCAGAUAAUGUGUAGGAUUACCUAAAAUCUAGAAAUUCAAAGGAUAUCUGUAAGUCGCCUCAUAUCCAACGUCAAAUAAUACGCAAGAUUAUCCAAAGAUUGACAAUUUAAGGGAAAUUUAUAAAUCAAUAGUCGGAUAUAACCGAAAAAGUUAUCAUUCUACAUACAACAAGUGAUAUAGGUAACCAAAAGGAUUGCCACACCAACACAAGAUUACACGGUUGUAGGGACCAUUCUGCAUAAAGUGUCGUCGCUGUUUAAAAAGGCCAUCACACUUUGAAGACAUAUUCAAUCAAAAAAUGUCAUAAUUAUACAAUAACCAUGAGGGUUAUUAUGUUUUUUCCUGUUAUUUCAUUCCAAACAGGUACAUAAAGAUAUGACUCCAAUUUUAGGCCACAACUCAUGUGGAGAUAUGGUAAAAGACUACAUAGCUCUUUCAUGAAUUAUGUUUAGCACUAACACUUUCUACUUGAAGAAUUGUCAAGAGCAUCUGAGAUGAUGAAAAUCUCUAAUCAAAACCACAGGUGCAGACGACUUCAGAUAGGACGCAGCAAACGUGAAACUCAUUCUUAGCAGCAAAAUGGAACAUAGUCUAAAGAGGGACGUCAAACUCUUUGUACGUGAGAUAAAGGAUGAUCACCACCACCAUCCAACCACACCCCUGUUAGAAGGCAUGUGGAAAUUCUAGGAUAUUCUGGUUUCAGGUUCAUCUUCGAGAUAUUCCCAAACUCAUACCGAGGGUAAACUUCGCUUUCUUUCAAAUCCGAGUGACAACACACCUAGAGUUUUGGAAAUUAUGUCUAGGUAAAUUCUUGCCUAUGGAUGUGAAGGAUCCACAUUCAUGGUUUUCCACAACUGGUUCAUUAACUUGUCACUCAUCCCGAGCUAAAAAUCAUCUAAAAUAGAAGACUAUACUUUCUACCGAUCAAGUCAAACUAAAAAAAGUCUGAUUCCUUAAAGUAUAGGGUAUAUGUAGGCUAGGAUCUACGUAGAAAACUUGACUGUAUUCCAACCUCCCCCCAAAGCCUUUUAUUCCCCAUCUUCUCGGUUUAUCAAAAGCUCUAAAGUUGUGAUGGUGUAUUUUCUUAAAAAUCAUGCUUAAAAUCAAGAUUUAUGAACUACAAGUGGCCUAAAUUCUCAUACAACCUGAGAUAUAUAGGAAACCUGGUACCUAGGGUUGGCCAUAACUCCAUGAAACUCAUGCGGAAAACAAACCUCGCUUAGAUAUGAAUUUGUGGUCAGAUAAAAAUUAGGAACGUCAACCUCCCUUUGCCCAGGAUUACUUGCAUCCAUCCUACCCAAAGGGAGGGGGCAGUUGUUGACCCCUAAUUUUUACCCUCCACAACUACGUUUAAUCUCGAGUUUCUUUGAUUUUUAAUAAAAUAACAAUAUUUAUUUUAUCAAAUAAAGAAACUUUUCAAAAGUAUUUAUCAGGGUAAUUUCAUUAUUUUAAGUAGCGAUUAUAAAUUAUCGUAUUCAUUUGUACGAAGUUGUAAUGUUGUUACUUAAAUAUCUAUUUUUAUAAAAAUAUCAAAUUUUAAUCAAGGUUAUCUUGAAAUAAAUUAUAAUGACUAAAAUCUUGAUUUAAGUAUAAUUUAUUCUUGAAAAUAACUUAUUUGAUUUUAUCGAAUCAAGAAGCUCGGAGUUAAAUGAGAUAUUAAUCCAUUUCGAAUUUUCAUUUAAUUUGUCCAUAAUUGAAAUCAAAUUGGCCACAAUUGCAAUGCAAUUGGCCAAUUGAUCUUUAAUUUGGCCAAAACUUAAAUGAAUGACCAAAUCCCCAAUUUGGACCCAAUUAGCAAAUCAGUAGCAGCCCAAUUACCCUUCAAUGGAUUAUCACUAACAGCCCAAGCCACACCAGCCCACUUUCAUUAAUAACUCAGCCUAAUUCUAUUCUCCUCUUCAAACAUAAACCAUCAGAAAAAAACAAAAACAUCAAAGACCUUUAUCAAUAAAGGACAACUCUUCUCAACCAUCGCAAUAGUGCCAACGUUAGCCCAAUAAUCUGACCAUACCUGCGAACCCAACUAACCCGUCUCUCUCUUUAACUCAACCCAUCGAUUAAGCCAUUUUCUUUGAUGAGAGUUCUAAAAAGUGGACACCUAAUGUACCACAACGGCUCAAAUCCAUGAAUCUCAGUAACAAUAGUACGAUUUCAUAGAUGUAUGUCAUAAUUUUACUGGCACUUGGCAGAAAUUCAUUUUUCCUAAAUCUUAUUAGUCCAUCAAUUUUAAAAUUGGUACAAUCGGUAUAAUUUAUUGGGGGUAAUCCAGUUUUGAAAGAUUUUGAAUUCUUUUUUUUUAAGUUCCUAACCUACCCCUAAUUCAUCUUCUAUAUAAAGACCCAUUUGGGUUACUAUUAGGGGAUUGUUUUUGGAGGGGGAAAAUUGGAGGGUUUUUGAAAAUCUAAGGUUGGAGAAUUAGGGUUCAAAAUUUUUAGGGCUCAUGAAGGAGGUUUCAAAAUUCUAGGGUUGGAAAAUUUGAGUGCAAAAAAUUUUUUCUAAGAAAAUCUAGGUUCGAAAAGAGAGGGAAAACGGGCCUCCUGAAAGAGGAACUUUUAUUUAACAAAAAUUUUAGGAAGAAGAGGUCAGCUAGUUGAAAUUUACGUAAUGGCAUCGAACUUUCCGGUGGUGGUGGAGUUAGACGUCAGUUCGUAGUCCUAUUUUCUGCUCUCGAAUAGGUAAUGCCCUUUUUCGUUCAAACUUCGAUCUCUUCUACUUCAUCUCGAUCUUCUGUAGUCAUGAAUAAAUUUUUAGUAUGAUUGUAUGCUGGGUUGUUUGCUGAUAGAUGGCUUCGAUAGCAGUAGUUAAUUGUUGGUAGAUUUCCGAUUUGAUACUCUCAUUUUGUGUACUGCUUGUGGCUUGAAUAGCUGGUUGACUAGUUAAAGUUUAUUGCUUGGACUAUGUUUAAUAGUCUUAAUCGAAUAUUAUUUUGGUCGUAAUUGUUAUUUGACAGUGUUUUGUCUAUUGUUUCUAUUGGAUGGAAUGUUAAUUAUCGAGCUAGCAGCGCUGCUAGCAGAGCUACCUCUCAAGUUUCUUUAGCUUCUCUAUGCCAAAAAGACAAUGAGCAGGAUCCUAAAGCGUAUCAGAAAGUCCUAGGUUCUUUUAAAGAUUAUUUCGUUCGAAUCUGUCAGAAUAGUGAGGAGGAUUGGAAUAAUAGUCAUCCUUGCUGUAGUUCUAUAGGGUUGUUGUUAGUCUUAUUUUCCUCGUUUCUAUUUGGACGUGACUGUCUCUAAAUCUUUGAAAUGAAGUUUUAUUUUCCUUGUUGUUGUUAGUCUUGUAUCCCUUAUUUGAAUUGAUUUGAGAAAUAGUUGAAAUCAAUUUAGUCAAUUUGCCUUUGAAGCAAAAAUUUUGUUAAGUCUCUUUGGUUUACAAUGUCUAAGAGGAUUAACCAAAUUGAAAACUCACGAUCUUGUGAAAAUAUAACUAAAGACGAAACACUCAUGACAUAUUUUUGUCUUUGAAAGUUCUUAAUCCGAAUCUACCUGCGGGUAUUGUUUGGUCACAGUGAGUGUUGUUCUCUUUCCUUUUCUUGCUCGUAUGCUUCACUUAGAGAUAUCUUCAAUCUUUACUUUGCUCUAUUUGUUGUAUUACUUUAAAGUUGAUAAUUAUGAUCUGCAAAAAUCGGUUGUGCUGCUGAGAUAUUUGAUAUUCUGCUUUAGUGUUUUAUUUUGUUUCAUCUCAUUUUAAUUUUAUUUUGAUUGUUUUAGUGUUAUAGUUAGUUCCUGUUAAAAUGAUGUCACGGGAAGUUUUGGAAUUCUUGUUGAUUUUUACAGUUAUUACCUUGCUCAAUUUUUUUUCUUUCCUUUUUACUGUAAGACUGUGAACUCUUAUUGGUUGAUUCCCUUGAUUUUCCUUUCUUUUGCUUUGGAUAUUUGUGCUUGUGUCCACUUAUCGAGUAAAUCAUACUUUUGUCAAAUAGUUCUGUGGGUUCUUUGAGUAUUUACAAAAAAGAUUUAUUCAUUUGGUUCAUAAUAUUUGAGCUCUUGUCCACUUGUUGUGUACAUCAUACUUGUGUUAACUAAUUUUGUGGAUUUUUUGUAUGUUCGUUGAAAAAAUUCAGUUUUUCCAUAUUUACUGGUUUAAUUUUUGUGUCUAAAUUGCAAAAAAUGGAGUUUUCC